UUGUUGGUAAGGUAAAAGCUUACCAAGGCUUCGAUCAGUAGCUGGUCUGAGAGGACGACCAGCCACACUGGGACUGAGACACGGCCCAGACUCCUACGGGAGGCAGCAGUGGGGAAUUUUGGACAAUGGGGGCAACCCUGAUCCAGCCAUGCCGCGUGAGUGAAGAAGGCCUUCGGGUUGUAAAGCUCUUUCAGCCGGAACGAAACGGUUACGGAUAACACCCGUGACUACUGACGGUACCGGAAGAAGAAGCACCGGCUAACUACGUGCCAGCAGCCGCGGUAAUACGUAGGGUGCGAGCGUUAAUCGGAAUUACUGGGCGUAAAGCGUGCGCAGGUGGUUUUGUAAGUCAGAUGUGAAAGCCCCGGGCUCAACCUGGGAACUGCGUUUGAAACUACAAGACUAGAGUGUGGUAGAGGGGGGUGGAAUUCCGCGUGUAGCAGUGAAAUGCGUAGAGAUGUGGAGGAACACCGAUGGCGAAGGCAGCCCCCUGGGUCAACACUGACACUCAGGCACGAAAGCAUGGGGAGCAAACAGGAUUAGAUACCCUGGUAGUCCAUGCCCUAAACGAUGUCAACUAGUUGUCGGGCCUUUACGGGCUUGGUAACGUAGCUAACGCGUGAAGUUGACCGCCUGGGGAGUACGAUCGCAAGAUUAAAACUCAAAUGAAUUGACGGGGACCCGCACAAGCGGUGGAUUAUGUGGAUUAAUUCGAUGCAACGCGAAAAACCUUACCUACCCUUGACAUGUAUCGAAGCCCGCAGAAAAGCGGGGGUGCCCGAAAGGGAACGAUAACACAGGUGCUGCAUGGCUGUCGUCAGCUCGUGUCGUGAGAUGUUGGGUUAAGUCCCGCAACGAGCGCAACCCUUGUCAUUAAUUGCCAUCAUUUAGUUGGGCACUUUAAUGAGACUGCCGG
rnacentral:rRNA from 1 species